GAUUUUGCCUUCGGGUACAAAUUGAGACAGGUGGUGCAUGGUUGUCGUCAGCUCGUGUCGUGAGAUGUUGGGUUAAGUCCCGCAACCGAGCGCAACCCUUGUCGUUUAGUUGCAAACAGGUCAAGCUGUGCACUCUAGACAGACUGCCGUGGACAACACGGAGGAAGGUGGGGAUGACGUCAAAUCAUCAUGCCCCUUAUGAUCUGGGCUACACACGUGCUACAAUGGCCGGUACAACGGGCAGCGAAGGAGCGAUCCGGAGCGAAUCCUAAAAAGCCGGUCCCAGUUCGGAUUGCAGGCUGAAACUCGCCUACAUGAAGUUGGAGUUGCUAGUAAUCGCGAAUCAGAAUGUCGCGGUGAAUGCGUUCCCGGGUCUU
rnacentral:rRNA from 1 species